CAAUAGGAGGAGCCCUGCCACAUACACAGCAGUGCCCAGGGAGAGGAGCAAGGAUUAAAUGAUGGAUGACCCCCUUUCCAGAUGCAUUCACAGGCAUUAAUGGUGCCCUAUGCAGUGAGUGGCAUCAUGCUUCUGCUUCUUUUGACACAAGACGUGCCUUUUUGGGCAGUGCUCCUCUCUUAGGAGUUGUCUGCACUGAGGUUUAGAUAUCUGGGGGAAUGGGGACUGCCUCCUUCUUACUUUUCAGAGCUGGUGAGGCACUCUUCCCUAACUGAUCAAUGAAGCAGGCUGGGACACACAGCAAUGACACAGGCAGACAGGUUCCAGGUUGCAAAAGCUGUUUGUGGCUGCUAGUCUCAACACCAAGGAGAAACCUCAAUUUCAGCAACCCUCCCCCCGCUGCGGUCCUGUAAUGGGAGAAAGUCUAAUUCCAGCACCUACUGAUGGGGUGUAUGUGACAUAUGCUACUCAAUCCUGGCUCCCACUCCAAAGCAAGCAUUCCAAAUUCUGAGCUGACACCACAAUGCCUGCAAUGGCUGCUGCUGCCAGGUAGCCAAACAAUGAAUAUCUUUGUAUAAGCCUGGAUUAUAAAUGGAGUCUUCCUCUCAGUCUCAGAUCUAGGAAAAUGCCUGCAGCUUUUGCUGGUGUCUCUAUCUCUGUCUCAGACUCUACCCAAGUUAGCUCCAGGGUUGAGAGAAACAUUGUGCUCUCUCAUGGCCUUGAUUCCACAGAUCUCCAGUGGAAGGAUCCAAAUCAGGAUCCCACGCUGCAUUCAGUCAUGUCUCCCCGGUCUCUUCCGAUUUAAAGCAUGAGGAAGAGGAGAAAGGCUAAGAUCUUUUCCAAUGCACAAUGAGGAAAAUACACACUAUGGUAAGUCACAAAAAACAAGUAUCUUGAAAUUUCUUUUGUUGAUGAGAUUACAACUGUGGUGCAAGUUAUUGUGCCUGUCAUUAUUUUUCUUGUAGUGGGAAAAUAAGCCAGGGAGCAGUGAACUAGACAACGGUGCUAGCUGGCCUUGCCAAUGGAAACUAACCUUGUAAAGUUAGCAGGACCUCUCUGAGCAUCAUUUUGCAAUCUCUUUGCAAGGCAGUGUCCUCUCCAUGUCUCACUGCUUACAUCUAAAGUCUUGAUAUUACCAUA
rnacentral:lncRNA from 13 species